AGCAGCCGCGGUAAUUCCAGCUCCAAUAGCGUAUAUUAAAGUUGUUGCAGUUAAAAAGCUCGUAGUUGAACUUCGGGGUUCACCCAUUGGUCAGGCUUAACUGUCUGCACUGGUGAGAUGAAUCUCUACCUUCUGAGGAACUUUCAUGCCAUUUAUUUGGUGUGAUGGGAAAUCAGGACUGUUACUUUGAAAAAUUAGAGUGUUUAAAGCAGGCUAACGUCUGAAUACAUUAGCAUGGAAUAAUGAAAUAGGACGGACUGGUUCUAUUUUGUUGGUUUCUAGGAUCACCGUAAUGAUUAAUAGGGAUAGUUGGGGGCAUUAGUAUUCAAUUGUCAGAGGUGAAAUUCUUGGAUUUAUUGAAGACUAACUACUGCGAAAGCAUUUGCCAAGGAUGUUUUCAUUAAUCAGGAACGAAAGUUAGGGGAUCGAAGACGAUCAGAUACCGUCGUA
rnacentral:rRNA from 1 species